UACGAAGGGGGCUAGCGUUGUUCGGAAUUACUGGGCGUAAAGCGCACGUAGGCGGAUCGAUCAGUCAGGGGUGAAAUCCCAGGGCUUAACCCUGGAACUGCCUUUGAUACUGUCGAUCUGGAGUCCGGAAGAGGUGAGUGGAAUUCCGAGUGUAGAGGUGAAAUUCGUAGAUAUUCGGAGGAACACCAGUGGCGAAGGCGGCUCACUGGUCCAUUACUGACGCUGAGGCACGAAAGCGUGGGGAGCAAACAGG
rnacentral:rRNA from 1 species